GACGAACGCUGGCGGCGUGCUUAACACAUGCAAGUCGAACGGUGAAGCGCCUUCCUUUUUGGUGGGUGUGGAGGGGUGGCGAACUGGGGAGUAACACGUUAGUAACCUGCCCCCUUCUUCUGGAUAACCGCAUGAAAGUGUGGCUAAUACAGGAUAUUCUGGGUCUGUCGCAUGAUAGGUCUGGGAAAGAUAUUGUGUCGGUGGGGGAUGGGCUCGCGGCCUAUCAGCUUGUUGGUGGGGUGAUGGCCUACCAAGGCGGUGACGGGUAGCCGGCCUGAGAGGAUGGACGGCCACAGUGGGGAUGCGACACGGAGAAGCCUCCGAGGGGCAGCAGCAGGGAAGAAUACUGAACAGUGGGAAGAAGGAUGAUGCAGCGCCGCCGCGGGGGUGAUGGACGCCGUCGGGUUGUGAUCUGCUUUCGGGAGAGAAGAAGGGUUGCCUUGUCUGUGGGUGGGUUGACGGUAGCUGGACAAGAAGCGCCGGCUAACUACGUG
rnacentral:rRNA from 1 species